rnacentral:rRNA from 1 species
UUAGAUACCCUAUUAUACCAAUAAAGUCUCAGAUUAUUAAUAGUUAUAUUCUUGAAAUUUAAAGAAUUUGGCGGUGAUUUAGUCUUGUUAGAGGAACCUGUUUUUGAAUCGAUACUCCACGUAAAAUCUUACUCACUUUAUUCAGUUUAUAUACCGUCAUUAUCAGAUAAUUUUUAAAAAAUUAAUUAUUAAACUUUAAGUAAAUAUUAAGUGAAAUUAGAUCCAGGUGUAGCUAAUAAGUGAGUUAAAAUGGGUUACAAUAAAUUUUAUUUAAUACGGAGUAAUUGUAGGAAGGUACAUAAAUGAAGGAGGAUUUAAUUGUAAUAUAAGUUUAAUAUGCUUUAAAGAUAUAAGCUCUAAAUCAUGUACAUAUCGCACG